rnacentral:rRNA from 1 species
GACAGAGGUGCCGAGCGUUAGGCGGAAUCACUGGGCUUAAAGCGUGUGUAGGCGGGCCGCUAAGUGUCUUGUGAAAUCCCCCGGCUCAACCGGGGAAUUGCUGGGCAUACUGGCGGUCUUGAGCAAUCUAGGGGCAGAUGGAACAAGUGGUGGAGCGGUGAAAUGCGUAGAUAUCACUUGGAACGCCAAAGGUGAAGACAGUCUGCUGGGGAUUUGCUGACGCUGAGACACGAAAGCCAGGGGAGCGAACGGG